AUUGAACGCUGGCGGCAUGCCUUACACAUGCAAGUCGAACGGUAACAGGUCUUCGGAUGCUGACGAGUGGCGAACGGGUGAGUAAUACAUCGGAACGUGCCUAGUAGUGGGGGAUAACUACUCGAAAGAGUGGCUAAUACCGCAUGAGAUCUACGGAUGAAAGCAGGGGAUCGCAAGGCCUUGUGCUACUAGAGCGGCCGAUGGCAGAUUAGGUAGUUGGUGGGAUAAAAGCUUACCAAGCCGACGAUCUGUAGCUGGUCUGAGAGGACGAUCAGCCACACUGGGACUGAGACACGGCCCAGACUCCUACGGGGGGCAGCAGUGGGGAAUUUUGGACAAUGGGCGCAAGCCUGAUCCAGCAAUGCCGCGUGCAGGAUGAAGGCCUUCGGGUUGUAAACUGCUUUUGUACGGAACGAAAAGCCCUGGGUUAAUACCCUGGGGUCAUGACGGUACCGUAAGAAUAAGCACCGGCUAACUACGUGCCAGCCGCCGCCGUAA
rnacentral:rRNA from 1 species